UACGGGGGGGGCAAGCGUUGUUCGGAAUUACUGGGCGUAAAGGGCUCGUAGGUGGCCAACUAAGUCGGACGUGAAAUCCCUCGGCUUAACCGGGGAACUGCGUCUGAUACUGGAUGGCUUGAGUUCGGGAGAGGGAUGCGGAAUUCCAGGUGUAGCGGUGAAAUGCGUAGAUAUCGAGAGGAACACCUGCGGCGAAGGCGGGUUGCUGGGCUGAUACUGACGCUGAGGCGCGAAAGCCAGGGGAGCGAACGGG
rnacentral:rRNA from 1 species